GAUGAACGCUGGCGGCGUGCAUAACACAUUCAAGUCGAACGGUGAUUACCUUCGGGUAUGAUCAGUGGCGGACGGGUGAGUACGCGUGAGCAACCUGCCCUUAUGUGGGGGACAACGUUUGGAAACGAACGCUAAUACCACAUAACGUUACGAGAUCGCAUGAUCUCGUAACCAAAGAUUUAUUGCGUAAGGAUGGGCUCGCGUUGGAUUAGGUAGUUGGUGAGGUAACGGCCCACCAAGCCGACAAUCCAUAGCCGGACUGAGAGGUUGAAAGGCCACAUUGGAACUGAGAAACGGUCCAGACUCCUACGGGAGGCAGCAGUGGGGAAUAUUGGGCAAUGGGCGAAAGCCUGACCCAGCGACGCCGCGUGCGGGAAGAAGGUCUUCGGAUUGUAAACCGCUUUUAUUAGGGACGAAGUAUGACGGUACCUAAUGAAUAAGCCACGGCUAACUACGUGCCAGCAGCCGCCGUAAAAC
rnacentral:rRNA from 1 species